rnacentral:rRNA from 1 species
GACGAACGCUGGCGGCGUGCUUAACACAUGCCAGUCGAACGGAAAGGCCCUGCUUUUGUGGGGUGCUCGAGUGGCGAACGGGUGAGUAACACGUGAGUAACCUGCCCUUGACUUUGGGAUAACUUCAGGAAACUGGGGCUAAUACCGGAUAGGAGCUCCUGCUGCAUGGUGGGGGUUGGAAAGUUUCGGCGGUUGGGGAUGGACUCGCGGCUUAUCAGCUUGUUGGUGGGGUAGUGGCUUACCAAGGCUUUGACGGGUAGCCGGCCUGAGAGGGUGACCGGCCACAUGAGGACUGAGAUACGGCCCAGACUCCUACGGGAGGCAGCAGGGGGGAAUAUUGCACAAUGGGCGGAAGCCUGAUGCAGCAACGCCGCGUGCGGGAUGACGGCCUUCGGGUUGUAAACCGCUUUCGCCUGUGACGAAGCGUGAGUGACGGUAAUGGGUAAAGAAGCACCGGCUAACUACGUG